rnacentral:rRNA from 1 species
AUUGAACGCUGGCGGCAGGCUUAACACAUGCAAGUCGAGCGGGGUGAUGGUGCUUGCACUAUCACUUAGCGGCGGACGGGUGAGUAAUGCUUAGGAAUCUGCCUAUUAGUGGGGGACAACAUCUCGAAAGGGAUGCUAAUACCGCAUACGUCCUACGGGAGAAAGCAGGGGAUCACUUGUUCCUCUGCGCUAAUAGAUGAGCCUAAGUCGGAUUGGCGAGUUGGUGGGGUAAAGGCCUACAAAGGCGACGAGCUGUAGCGGGUCUGAGAGGAUGAUCCGACACACUGGGACUGGGACACGGCCCAGACUCCUACGGGAGGCAGCAGUGGGGAAUAUUGGACAAUGGGGGGAACCCUGAUCCAGCCAUGCCGCGUGUGUGAAGAAGGCCUUAUGGUUGUAAAGCACUUUAAGCGAGGAGGAGGCUCUUUUGGUUAAUACCCAAGAUGAGUGGACGUUACUCGCAGAAUAAGCACCGGCUAACUCUGUGCCAGCCGCCGCCGUAA